AGUGAACGCUGGCGGUAGGCCUAACACAUGCAAGUCGAACGGCAGCACAGUAAGAGCUUGCUCUUACGGGUGGCGAGUGGCGGACGGGUGAGGAAUACAUCGGAAUCUACUUUUUCGUGGGGGAUAACGUAGGGAAACUUACGCUAAUACCGCAUACGACCUACCGGUGAAAGCAGGGGAUCUUCGGACCUUGCGCGAUUGAAUUAGCCGAUGUCGGAUUAGCUAGUUGGCGGGGUAAAGGCCCACCAAGGCGACGAUCCGUAGCUGGUCUGAGAGGAUGAUCAGCCACACUGGAACUGAGACACGGUCCAGACUCCUACGGGAGGCAGCAGUGGGGAAUAUUGGACAAUGGGCGCAAGCCUGAUCCAGCCAUACCGCGUGAGUGAAGAAGGCCUUCGGGUUGUAAAGCCCUUUUGUUGGGAAAGAAAAGCAGCAGGUUAAUACCCCGCUGUUCUGACGGUACCCAAAGAAUAAGCACCGGCUAACUUCGUG
rnacentral:rRNA from 1 species